ACCCAAGCGUUUAGAGAUCCUGAGACCUCAUCCUCUGAGACGAUCAUCACCAUGUUCACUGUGAAAGCAGUUUGCCUCCUCGCCACCAUCGCUAUGCUUGUUGCAUUUGUGGCUGCGGGAGCUCCGAACGCCUGCAAAAAAACACUUAUAGGAAAAAUGUGUUGAAACUAUUAAAGAUGAAGAGAUGUCAAGUUUACACUGAAGAUGCGAAUCACUAAAAACACUGUGUAGUCAAUUAAUAAAGUAGUCAUGCAUACCUA